rnacentral:rRNA from 1 species
AAGUCGUAACAAGGUCUCCGUUGGUGAACCAGCGGAGGGAUCAUUAUAGAGUUUUCUAAACUCCCAACCCAUGUGAACUUACCUUUGUUGCCUCGGCAGAAGCUACCCUGUAGCGGCUGCCGAUGGACCAUCAAACUCUUGUUAUUUUAUUGUUAUCUGAGCGUCUUAUUUUAAUAAGUCAAAACUUUCAACAACGGAUCUCUUGGUUCUGGCAUCGAUGAAGAACGCAGCGAAAUGCGAUAAGUAAUGUGAAUUGCAGAAUUCAGUGAAUCAUCGAAUCUUUGAACGCACAUUGCGCCCAUUAGUAUUCUAGUGGGCAUGCCUGUUCGAGCGUCAUUUCAACCCUUAAGCCUAGCUUAGUGUUGGGAGCCUACUGCUUUUACUAGCUGUAGCUCCUGAAAUACAACGGCGGAUCUGCGAUAUCCUCUGAGCGUAGUAAUUUUUUUUCUCGCUUUUGACUGGAGUUGCAGCGUCCUUAGCCGCUAAACCCCCCAAUUUUUAAUGGUUGACCUCGGAUCAGGUAGGAAUACCCGCUGAACUUAA